UCGACACCGUUCGACACACCUGUUCAGAUUAAUUGAAAAUUAUCAUGGCAUCACUGCAUAACACUUGACGUUUGUUUUAUAGUUUAUUUUGAUUGACCUUCGCAUAGCAUUUUCGCAGGCGGUGGAUGGUGGUUGCUGGUUGGUCCCAGGUUGGAAUAAUCUGGUGUUCGAUGGCGCUGAGCUCGAAAGCAGACCGCGUCCGAUCUAACAGAUACUGCUAUUGGGCUGCCACGAGAACUAAUACCACUCCUUUGAUUUAAGCUCAGGGCACAUCUAUGUCAGGAAGCACAAAUGAUAACUUGAAUUCCGGUGCUAAACCGGCUGGUUUCAAAGGAUUAGACCGUGCAGCCGAAAGAGCACCUCAUCCAAAUGCCACAGUGUUACAGAUUGCAACGCAACCGGGGCUCACCUGCCACCACCACCAGAAUCCUCAAACGAUACCCAUCGGAAUUCCCUCGGGAAUUCCCAAACAUUCCCUGUUCCCAUAGGAAUGCCAAAUGAUAAUUAAAGGAAUCCUCGAGCAAAACCUACAGAAAUCCCCCCGCUCAAUGAAAUUCUCUAGCGAUACCGACCGGAUUUCUUAAGCAAUGCCCACAUGAAUUCCUCAUCAAUACCAACAGGAAUCUAAGCGAUUCCCACAGGAAAGCCCGAGCAAUGCCUAUAGUGGUUCCCAAGCGAUGUCCACAGAGUUCCCCCAGUGCUGUCCUCUGGUAUCCCCAAUGCCCACCGAAAUCCCCUAGUAAUGUCCACAGGAAUCUCCAAACAAUGCCGACAGGAAUCCUCAGGCAAUGCCUGCAAUGACUCCCGAGCGAUGUACAUAGUGAUCCACCAAUGAAUCCCACAGGAAACCCCAAUAGGUGCCCACCAGGAGUCCAGCUUUGGGAGAAAAGAAAGAAUCCCCAAGCAAAGUCCAACGAAAUCCCCAACUUCUGUAAUCAUGGUUAUUGCAGGCUACCGAGAUGACGGCUAUAAAUACACAAAAAUACAUUAUUUUAUUGAA